rnacentral:rRNA from 1 species
GUCCACGCCGUAAACGAUGGGUACUAGACGUUGGGAAGCUUGUCUUCUUAGUGUCGCAGCUAACGCAUUAAGUACCCCGCCUGGGGAGUACGGCCGCAAGGUUAAAACUCAAAGGAAUUGACGGGGGCCCGCACAAGCGGUGGAGCAUGUGGUUCAAUUCGAUGCAACGCGAAAAACCUUAACCUGCCCUUGACAUGUCAGGAACCUCCCAGAGAUGGAAGGGUGCCCGCAAGGGAGCCUGAACACAGGUGCUGCAUGGCUGUCGU